rnacentral:piRNA from 1 species
UGUCUAUUUAACUCUGUAGAGGGCACUUU